CCGAGUAUCGGUACCCUUUGGGUACCUGCUCCCACCAUUUGUGAACCUUUUUCGUUGCCUCGGCGGACCGGUGGUUCUUCCACCCUUUGGCUUUUUAGCUGGAGAGAGUCCGCCAGAGGAAUUUUCAAACCCGUUUAAUUUUGAAAUCUGAGUUUAAACAAAAAUAAAAACA
rnacentral:misc_RNA from 1 species